CAGGGAAUAGUUUAAUUAGAAUAUCAGCUUUGGGUGUUGAAGGUAAGGUGAGUGCCUUUUCCUUGA
rnacentral:tRNA from 1 species